UGCCUCAGUAACGGCGAGUGAAGCGGCAACAGCUCAAAUUUGAAAUCUGGCCUCACGGUCCGAGUUGUAAUUUGUAGAGGAUGCUUUUGGCGAGGUGCUUUCCGAGUUCCCUGGAACGGGACGCCAUAGAGGGUGAGAGCCCCGUACGGUAAGACCACCGAGCCUCUGUAAAGCUCCUUCGACGAGUCGAGUAGUUUGGGAAUGCUGCUCUAAAUGGGAGGUGUACGUCUUCUAAAGCUAAAUACCGGCCAGAGACCGAUAGCGCACAAGUAGAGUGAUCGAAAGAUGAAAAGCACUUUGAAAAGAGGGUUAAAAAGUACGUGAAAUUGUUGAAAGGGAAGCAUUCAUGACCAGACUUGGGCUUGGUUGAACAUCCGGCGUUCUCGCCGGUGCACUCUGCCAGUCCAGGCCAGCAUCAGUUUGCCCCGGGGGACAAAGGCGGUGGGAAUGUGGCUCCCUUCGGGGAGUGUUAUAGCCCGCCGUGUAAUGCCCUGGGGCGGACUGAGGAACGCGCUUCGGCACGGAUGCUGGCGUAAUGGUCAUCAAUGACCCGUCUUGAAACACGGACCAAGGAGUCGUCUUCGUAUGCGAGUGUUCGGGUGUCAAACCCCUACGCGUAAUGAAAGUGAACGUAGGUGAGAGCUUCGGCGCAUCACCGACCGAUCCUGAUGUUCU
rnacentral:rRNA from 1 species